UUGGGAAUAUUCAAUUCAAUGGCAGUUAAGGGCUCCAGGCCGUAUCUGUCUAUCUAUAAAGUGCUCAUUUGUGCACUUUGCAGAUCAAGCCGAGUGGAAAAAGCUCAGAGCAUAUUUCAGAACUUGCUUGCUGAGCAAUGGAAUGGUGAUCUGAUUGUUUGGACAGUUUUAGUUGAUGGGUUAUUACAGGAAGGGGAGUCUGAUAUAUGCAUGAAGUUUCUUUAUCUUAUGGAAUCUAGAAACUGUACUCUUAGUUUGCAUACAUACCGAAUCUUGGCAAGAGAACUAUCUAAAGUUGGAAAAUCAUUAGAAACUGAUCAAAUCAGUAAAGAGUUUAGGAAAUUGAGCUUCCCUCCAUAAUUGUCAAGGCAUACGAAAGUGUGUUGUCUCAAUGAGGAUGUAUGGCUGCAUCCGUAAAAUGCGCCCUAGUAACAUAUUGACAAGAUGAAGAAGCUUAUGCUGUACUGUUGGAACAUGAUGAUCUUAUCCAGGUAAAAAAGGG
rnacentral:misc_RNA from 1 species